GUGGGGAAUUUUGGACAUUGGGCGCAAGCCUGAUCCAGCAAUGCCGCGUGCAGGAUGAAGGCCUUCGGGUUGUAAACUGCUUUUGUACGGAACGAAACGGUCCUGGUUAAUACCUGGGGCUAAUGACGGUACCGUAAGAAUAAGCACCGGCUAACUACGUGCCAGCAGCCGCGGUAAUACGUAGGGUGCGAGCGUUAAUCGGAAUUACUGGGCGUAAAGCGUGCGCAGGCGGUGCUGUAAGACAGGCGUGAAAUCCCCGGGCUCAACCUGGGAAUUGCGCUUGUGACUGCAGUGCUGGAGUACGGCAGAGGGGGAUGGAAUUCCGCGUGUAGCAGUGAAAUGCGUAGAUAUGCGGAGGAACACCGAUGGCGAAGGCAGUCCCCUGGGCCUGUACUGACGCUCAUGCACGAAAGCGUGGGGAGCAAACAGGAUUAGAUACCCCUGUAGUCC
rnacentral:rRNA from 1 species